CAGCCGCCGCGGUAACACGGAGGGUGCAAGCGUUAAUCGGAAUUACUGGGCGUAAAGCGCACGCAGGCGGUCUGUCAAGUCAGAUGUAAAAUCCCCGGGCUUAACCUGGGAACUGCAUUUGAAACUGGCAGGCUAGAGUCUUGUAGAGGGGGGUAGAAUUCCAGGUGUAGCGGUGAAAUGCGUAGAGAUCUGGAGGAAUACCGGUGGCGAAGGCGGCCCCCUGGACAAAGACUGACGCUCAGGUGCGAAAGCGUGGGGAGCAAACAGGAUUAGAUACCCGGGUAGUCCCUGUCUCUUAUAC
rnacentral:rRNA from 1 species